UCGAUUGUCCCAGCCGCCGCGGUAAUACGUAGGGUGCAAGCGUUAUCCGGAAUUAUUGGGCGUAAAGGGCUCGUAGGCGGUUCGUCGCGUCCGGUGUGAAAGUCCAUCGCUUAACGGUGGAUUCGCGCCGGGUACGGGCGGGCUUGAGUGCGGUAGGGGAGACUGGAAUUCCCGGUGUAACGGUGGAAUGUGUAGAUAUCGGGAAGAACACCAAUGGCGAAGGCAGGUCUCUGGGCCGUUACUGACGCUGAGGAGCGAAAGCGUGGGGAGCGAACAGGAUUAGAUACCCUGGUAGUCCACGCCGUAAACGGUGGAUGCUGGAUGUGGGGCCCGUUCCACGGGUUCCGUGUCGGAGCUAACGCGUUAAGCAUCCCGCCUGGGGAGUACGACCGCAAGGCUAAAACUCAAAGAAAUUGACGGGGGCCCGCACAAGCGGCGGAGCAUGCGGAUUAAUUCGAUGCAACGCGAAGAACCUUACCUGGGCUUGACAUGUUCCCGACGAUCCCAGAGAUGGGGCUUCCCUUCGGGGCGGGUUCACAGGUGGUGCAUGGUCGUCGUCAGCUCGUGUCGUGAGAUGUUGGGUUAAGUCCCGCAACGAGCGCAACCCUCGCCCCGUGUUGCCAGCGGAUUGUGCCGGGAACUCACGGGGGACCGCCGGGGUUAACUCGGAGGAAGGUGGGGAUGACGUCAGAUCAUCAUGCCCCUUACGUCCAGGGCUUCACGCAUGCUACAAUGGCCGGUACAACGGGAUGCGACGCGGCGACGCGGAGCGGAUCCCUGAAAACCGGUCUCAGUUCGGAUCGCAGUCUGCAACUCGACUGCGUGAAGGCGGAGUCGCUAGUAAUCGCGAAUCAGCAACGUCGCGGUGAAUGCGUUCCCGGGCCUUGUACACACCGCCCGUCAAGUCAUGAAAGUGGGCAGCACCCGAAGCCGGUGGCCUAACCCCUUGUGGGAUGGAGCCGUCUAAGGUGAGGCUCGUGAUUGGGACUAAGUCGUAACAAGGUAACCA
rnacentral:rRNA from 1 species